rnacentral:rRNA from 1 species
UGGGAUAACUUCGGGAAACCGGAGCUAAUACCGGAUAAUAUUUCGAACCGCAUGGUUCGAUAGUGAAAGAUGGCUCUGCUAUCACUUAUAGAUGGACCUGCGCCGUAUUAGCUAGUUGGUAAGGUAACGGCUUACCAAGGCAACGAUACGUAGCCGACCUGAGAGGGUGAUCGGCCACACUGGAACUGAGACACGGUCCAGACUCCUACGGGAGGCAGCAGUAGGGAAUCUUCCGCAAUGGGCGAAAGCCUGACGGAGCAACGCCGCGUGAGUGAUGAAGGUCUUCGGAUCGUAAAACUCUGUUAUUAGGGAAGAACAAACGUGUAAGUAACUGUGCACGUCUUGACGGUACCUAAUCAGAAAGCCACGGCUAACUACGUGCCAGCAGCCGCGGUAAUACGUAGGUGGCAAGCGUUAUCCGGGAAUUAUUUGGGCGUAAAGCCGCGCGUUAGGCGGGUUUUUUUAAGUCCUGAUGUGAAAAGCCCCACGGGCUCAACCCGUGGGAGGGUCAUUGGGAAACUGGGAAAACUUGGAGUGCAGAAAGAGGAAAAGUGGGAAUUCCCAUGUGGUAGCGGGUGAAAAUGCGCCAGAGAUAUGGGAGGAACACCAGUGGGCGAAGGCGACUUUUCUGGGUCUGUAACUGACGCCUGAUGUGCGAAAAGCGUGGGGGAUCAAACAGGGAUUAGAUACCCUUGGUAGUCCACGCCCGUAAACGAUGAGUGCCUAAGUGUUAGGGGGGUUUCCGCCCCCUUAGUGCUGCAGCUAACGCAUUAAGCACUCCGCCUGGGGGAGUACGACCCGCAAGGUUGAAACUCAAAAGGAAUUGACGGGGGACCCGCACAAGCGGUGGGAGCAUGUGGGUUUAAUUCGAAGCAACGCGAAGAACCUUACCAAAUCUUGACAUCCUUUGACCCUUCUAGAAAUAGAAAUUUCCCCUUC